rnacentral:rRNA from 1 species
GGUAACCUGCCUGUAAGACUGGGAUAACUCCGGGAAACCGGAGCUAAUACCGGAUAGUUCCUUGAACCGCAUGGUUCAAGGAUGAAAGACGGUUUCGGCUGUCACUUACAGAUGGACCCGCGGCGCAUUAGCUAGUUGGUGAGGUAACGGCUCACCAAGGCGACGAUGCGUAGCCGACCUGAGAGGGUGAUCGGCCACACUGGGACUGAGACACGGCCCAGACUCCUACGGGAGGCAGCAGUAGGGAAUCUUCCGCAAUGGACGAAAGUCUGACGGAGCAACGCCGCGUGAGUGAUGAAGGUUUUCGGAUCGUAAAGCUCUGUUGUUAGGGAAGAACAAGUGCAAGAGUAACUGCUUGCACCUUGACGGUACCUAACCAGAAAGCCACGGCUAACUACGUGCCAGCAGCCGCGGUAAUACGUAGGUGGCAAGCGUUGUCCGGAAUUAUUGGGCGUAAAGGGCUCGCAGGCGGUUUCUUAAGUCUGAUGUGAAAGCCCCCGGCUCAACCGGGGAGGGUCAUUGGAAACUGGGAAACUUGAGUGCAGAAGAGGAGAGUGGAAUUCCACGUGUAGCGGUGAAAUGCGUAGAGAUGUGGAGGAACACCAGUGGCGAAGGCGACUCUCUGGUCUGUAACUGACGCUGAGGAGCGAAAGCGUGGGGAGCGAACAGGAUUAGAUACCCUGGUAGUCCACGCCGUAA